rnacentral:rRNA from 1 species
UACGUAGGCAGCGAGCGUUGUUCGGAGUUACUGGGCGUAAAGAGUGCGUAGGCGGUUUUCUAAGUUUGGUGUGAAAUCUCCCGGCUUAACUGGAAGGGUGCGCCGAAGACUGGAAGGCUUGAGUAUGGGAGAGGUAAGCGGAAUUCCUGGUGUAGCGGUGAAAUGCGUAGAUAUCAGGAGGAACACCUGCGGUGUAGACGGCUUACUGGACCAUCACUGACGCUGAGGCACGAAAGCGUGGGUAGCAAACAGG